rnacentral:rRNA from 1 species
CAAUAGCGUAUAUUAAAGUUGUUGCAGUUAAAAAGCUCGUAGUUGGAUUUGUGGCGUACGGUGUGUUCCGGGCACUUGUUGUCUGAGUAACCUGCUGUUGCCAUCCUUGGGUGGAACCUGUGUGGCAUUAGGUUGUCGUGAAGGGGAUGCCCAUCAUUUACUGUGAAAAAAUUAGAGUGUUCAAAGCAGGCUUAUGCCGUUGAAUAUAUUAGCAUGGAAUAAUGAGAUAGGACUUUUUUGCUAUUUUGUUGGUUUGCGCAAAGAGGUAAUGAUUAAUAGGGACAGUUGGGGGUAUUCGUAUUCCAUUGUCAGAGGUGAAAUUCUUGGAUUUUUGGAAGACGAACUACUGCGAAAGCAUUUACCAAGGAUGUUUUCAUUAA